rnacentral:lncRNA from 10 species
GACAGAGCAAGACACUGUCUCAAAGAAAAAUAAAUAAAUAAAAUAAGGCCCUCUUUUUCCAGGACCAACAGACUCUGAUGGCAGGGACAAACUGACCCAGCCUAAACUGCCUCGCCUUCCCUGCUCCCGGGAAAGGGGCUUUCCCUGAGGGAAGGUAGCAUCUUGCCAUUUUCUUCCUGCACAGCUUUGCCUUCCCAGGGAUCGGCCCAUUGCCACCUGAGGAAAUGCCUUGGAGUCCAUCUAACCCACAGCCCAGCCCUGUUGAAGCUGCUUCCAUGUUGUGAGAUGCUUUAUGGGUAACAUCCAUGUGGUAAAACAGUGAAGUAGGCCUCUUGCCAACCACCAAUUAAGAAUAACCAUGGAGGAACUGAGUCCCACCAACAGCUACUUGAGUCACUAUGAAAGUGGACUCAUCACUGAUUGAACCUUGGAAUAACGAUAGCCCAAUUGACACCUUGAUUUUAGCCUUGUGAGAUAUUCAGGCAAAGAGAAUGCAGCUAAGCAUUAUCUGAAUUUCUGACUCAUGGAAACUGUGAGAUAAUAAAUGUUUGCUGCUUUAUCCACUAAGAUUUUGGAUAAUUUGUUAAACAAACACAUAACUAAUACACAU